UACAGGGGGUGCAAACGUUGCUCGGAAUCAUUGGGCGUAAAGCGCACGUAGGCGGUUCGUUAUGUCGGAUGUGAAAGCCCUUGGCUUAACCGAGGAAGUGCAUCCGAAACUGGCGAGCUAGAGUACGAAAGAGGAUCGCGGAAUUCCCGGUGUAGAGGUGAAAUUCGUAGAUAUCGGGAGGAACACCGGUGGCGAAGGCGGCGAUCUGGGUCGAUACUGACGCUGAGGUGCGAAAGCAUGGGUAGCGAACAGG
rnacentral:rRNA from 1 species